CACACCAUAGCUGAUUAAAGAACUCCAGAGACAGUGCAUGUGAGGGAGAGGGUCUGCGAGGGCUUCACCAGUCCUGGGCCCGACUCCUGCAGUUGAAACUGGGACAGGACAC